GGUCAAGCGAACAAGUGCAUGUGGUGGAUGCCUUGGCGAUCACAGGCGAUGAAGGACGCGGUAGCCUGCGAAAAGCUUCGGGGAGCUGGCAAACAAGCUUUGAUCCGGAGAUGUCCGAAUGGGGAAACCCGGCCCGAAUGGGUCAUCCCUGACUGAAUACAUAGGUCAGGGAAGCGAACGCGGCGAACUGAAACAUCUAAGUAGCUGCAGGAACAGAAAUCAACCGAGAUUCCCAGAGUAGUGGCGAACGAAAUGGGAAGAGCCUUGUACUCUUUAGCAGCAUUGUUAGCAGAACGGGAUGGAAAGCCCGGCCAUAGCAGGUGAUAGCCCUGUAUGCGAAAACAGCGUUGUGGAACUAGGUGUACGACAAGUAGGGCGGGACACGUGAAAUCCUGUCUGAAGAUGGGGGGACCAUCCUCCAAGGCUAAAUACUCGUGAUCGACCGAUAGUGAACCAGUACCGUGAGGGAAAGGCGAAAAGAACCCCGGGAGGGGAGUGAAAUAGAUCCUGAAACCGCAUGCAUACAAACAGUCGGAGCCUGGAAACGGGUGACGGCGUACCUUUUGUAUAAUGGGUCAGCGACUUACAUUCAGUGGCAAGCUUAACCGAUUAGGGAAGGCGUAGCGAAAGCGAGUCCGAAUAGGGCGUUCAGUCGCUGGGUGUAGACCCGAAACCAGACGAUCUAUCCAUGGCCAGGUUGAAGGUGCGGUAACACGUACUGGAGGACCGAACCCACUAACGUUGAAAAGUUAGGGGAUGAGCUGUGGAUAGGGGUGAAAGGCUAAACAAGUCUGGAAAUAGCUGGUUCUCUCCGAAAACUAUUUAGGUAGUGCCUCGUGUCUCACCUUCGGGGGUAGAGCACUGUCAUGGUUGGGGGGUCUAUUGCUGAUUACCCCGCCAUAGCAAACUCCGAAUACCGAAGAGUGCAAUCACGGGAGACAGACAUCGGGUGCUAACGUCCGGUGUCAAGAGGGAAACAACCCAGACCGCCAGCUAAGGUCCCUAAGAUUGGCUAAGUGGGAAACGAAGUGGGAAGGCUAAAACAGUCAGGAGGUUGGCUUAGAAGCAGCCAUCCUUUAAAGAAAGCGUAAUAGCUCACUGAUCGAGUCGUCCUGCGCGGAAGAUGUAACGGGGCUAAGCCAGUCACCGAAGCUGCGGAUGCACGUAAGUGCAUGGUAGGAGAGCGUUCUGUAAGCCUGUGAAGGUGUCUUGUAAAGGAUGCUGGAGGUAUCAGAAGUGCGAAUGCUGACAUGAGUAGCGAUAAAGGGGGUGAAAAGCCCCCUCGCCGUAAGCCCAAGGUUUCCUACGCAACGUUCAUCGGCGUAGGGUGAGUCGGCCCCUAAGGCGAGGCAGAGAUGCGUAGCUGAUGGGAAGCAGGUUAAUAUUCCUGCACCGUCGUAUGAUGCGAUGGGGGGACGGAUCGCGGAAGGUUGUCCGGGUGUUGGAAGUCCCGGUCCCUGCAUUGGAGAAGGCGCUUAGGCAAAUCCGGGCGCGGAAUUCAAGGAUGUGGGGCGAGCGGCCUAGUGCUGCGAAGCAAUUGGAAGUGGUUCCAAGAAAAGCCUCUAAGCUUCAGUCAUACGAGACCGUACCGCAAACCGACACAGGUGGGCGAGAUGAGUAUUCUAAGGCGCUUGAGAGAACUCGGGAGAAGGAACUCGGCAAAUUGGUACCGUAACUUCGGGAUAAGGUACGCCCUUGUAGCUUGACUGGCCUGCGCCAGGAGGGUGAAGGGGUUGCAAUAAAAUGGUGGCUGCGACUGUUUAAUAAAAACACAGCACUCUGCAAACACGAAAGUGGACGUAUAGGGUGUGACGCCUGCCCGGUGCCGGAAGAUUAAAUGAUGGGGUGCAAGCUCUUGAUUGAAGUCCCGGUAAACGGCGGCCGUAACUAUAACGGUCCUAAGGUAGCGAAAUUCCUUGUCGGGUAAGUUCCGACCUGCACGAAUGGCGUAACGAUGGCCACACUGUCUCCUCCCGAGACUCAGCGAAGUUGAAGUGUUUGUGAUGAUGCAAUCUCCCCGCGGCUAGACGGAAAGACCCCAUGAACCUUUACUGUAGCUUUGCAUUGGACUUUGAACCGAUCUGUGUAGGAUAGGUGGGAGGCUUUGAAGCGUGGACGCUAGUCUGCGUGGAGCCGUCCUUGAAAUACCACCCUGGUUUGUUUGAGGUUCUAACCUUGGCCCGUGAAUCCGGGUCGGGGACAGUGCAUGGUAGGCAGUUUGACUGGGGCGGUCUCCUCCCAAAGUGUAACGGAGGAGUUCGAAGGUACGCUUGGUACGGUCGGACAUCGUACCUAAAGUGCAAUGGCAAAAGCGUGCUUAACUGCGAGACCGACAAGUCGAGCAGGUGCGAAAGCAGGACAUAGUGAUCCGGUGGUUCUGAAUGGAAGGGCCAUCGCUCAACGGAUAAAAGGUACUCUGGGGAUAACAGGCUGAUACCGCCCAAGAGUUCAUAUCGACGGCGGUGUUUGGCACCUCGAUGUCGGCUCAUCUCAUCCUGGGGCUGUAGCCGGUCCCAAGGGUAUGGCUGUUCGCCAUUUAAAGAGGUACGUGAGCUGGGUUUAAAACGUCGUGAGACAGUUUGGUCCCUAUCUGCCGUGGGCGUUGGAAUCUUGACGGGGGCUGCUCCUAGUACGAGAGGACCGGAGUGGACGUACCGCUGGUGUACCUGUUGUCUCGCCAGAGGCAUCGCAGGGUAGCUAUGUACGGAAGAGAUAACCGCUGAAAGCAUCUAAGCGGGAAACUCGCCUGAAGAUGAGGAUUCCCUGGAGCCUUGAGCUCCUUGAAGGGUCGUUCGAGACCAGGACGUUGAUAGGCUGGGUGUGGAAGCGCAGUAAUGCGUUAAGCUAACCAGUACUAAUUGCCCGUAAGGCUUGAUCCU
rnacentral:rRNA from 1 species